CCCUAGCCCUGAUAGAAGCAGAAAUCCUUGUGCGCCGGGGUUCGGCACACAAGAUUGAAGCGGAGAGCAGGAAAUAGC
rnacentral:sRNA from 1 species